rnacentral:snRNA from 1 species
GGAUGUGAGGGCGAUCUGGCUGCGACAUCUGUCACCCCAUUGAUCGCCAGGGUUGAUUCGGCUGAUCUGGCUGGCUAGGCGGGUGUCCCCUUCCUCCCUCACCGCUCCAUGUGCGUCCCUCCCGAAGCUGCGCGCUCGGUCGAAGAGGACGACCAUCCCCGAUAGAGGAGAGGACCAUUCUCCGGUCAAGGGUAUACGAGUAGCUGCGCUCCCCUGCUAGAACCUCCAAACAAGCUCUCAUUGGUAACCUCACAUACUUCAACACUCUUUCAGAGAAAAUUGGGAGGUGAGGGAAAGACAGAUGAAAAUGUGCCAGUGAAAGAGAACCAAAGCAAUCUUCUGGAGAUGCAUUAGGAU